AAAUUGAAGAGUUUGAUCAUGGCUCAGAUUGAACGCUGGCGGCAGGCCUAACACAUGCAAGUCGAACGGUAGCACAGAGAGCUUGCUCUCGGGUGACGAGUGGCGGACGGGUGAGUAAUGUCUGGGAAACUGCCUGAUGGAGGGGGAUAACUACUGGAAACGGUGGCUAAUACCGCAUAACGUCGCAAGACCAAAGAGGGGGACCUUCGGGCCUCUUGCCAUCAGAUGUGCCCAGAUGGGAUUAGCUAGUUGGUGAGGUAACGGCUCACCAAGGCGACGAUCCCUAGCUGGUCUGAGAGGAUGACCAGCCACACUGGAACUGAGACACGGUCCAGACUCCUACGGGAGGCAGCAGUGGGGAAUAUUGCACAAUGGGCGCAAGCCUGAUGCAGCCAUGCCGCGUGUAUGAAGAAGGCCUUCGGGUUGUAAAGUACUUUCAGCGGGGAGGAAGGUGUUGUGGUUAAUAACCGCAGCAAUUGACGUUACCCGCAGAAGAAGCACCGGCUAACUCCGUGCCAGCAGCCGCGGUAAUACGGAGGGUGCAAGCGUUAAUCGGAAUUACUGGGCGUAAAGCGCACGCAGGCGGUCUGUCAAGUCGGAUGUGAAAUCCCCGGGCUCAACCUGGGAACUGCAUUCGAAACUGGCAGGCUUGAGUCUUGUAGAGGGGGGUAGAAUUCCAGGUGUAGCGGUGAAAUGCGUAGAGAUCUGGAGGAAUACCGGUGGCGAAGGCGGCCCCCUGGACAAAGACUGACGCUCAGGUGCGAAAGCGUGGGGAGCAAACAGGAUUAGAUACCCUGGUAGUCCACGCCGUAAACGAUGUCUACUUGGAGGUUGUGCCCUUGAGGCGUGGCUUCCGGAGCUAACGCGUUAAGUAGACCGCCUGGGGAGUACGGCCGCAAGGUUAAAACUCAAAUGAAUUGACGGGGGCCCGCACAAGCGGUGGAGCAUGUGGUUUAAUUCGAUGCAACGCGAAGAACCUUACCUGGUCUUGACAUCCACAGAACUUUCCAGAGAUGGAUUGGUGCCUUCGGGAACUGUGAGACAGGUGCUGCAUGGCUGUCGUCAGCUCGUGUUGUGAAAUGUUGGGUUAAGUCCCGCAACGAGCGCAACCCUUAUCCUUUGUUGCCAGCGAUUAGGUCGGGAACUCAAAGGAGACUGCCAGUGAUAAACUGGAGGAAGGUGGGGAUGACGUCAAGUCAUCAUGGCCCUUACGACCAGGGCUACACACGUGCUACAAUGGCGCAUACAAAGAGAAGCGACCUCGCGAGAGCAAGCGGACCUCAUAAAGUGCGUCGUAGUCCGGAUUGGAGUCUGCAACUCGACUCCAUGAAGUCGGAAUCGCUAGUAAUCGUGGAUCAGAAUGCCACGGUGAAUACGUUCCCGGGCCUUGUACACACCGCCCGUCACACCAUGGGAGUGGGUUGCAAAAGAAGUAGGUAGCUUAACCUUCGGGAGGGCGCUUACCACUUUGUGAUUCAUGACUGGGGUGAAGUCGUAACAAGGUAACCGUAGGGGAACCUGCGGUUGGAUCACCUCCUUACCUUAAAGAAGC
rnacentral:rRNA from 1 species